GUCUGCGCGAUGUCAUUUAGAAGCGAUAGAGCUUUUGUUGCGCGUCCACCACGAUAAGGAAUUUGUCGCUUGCAUUCCUGCAGCGAUAAAUCGCGUUCUGGUUUUCAAAUCGGGAGAGAUAGUCCAGUUUGAAAAAUUCGACUGACGUUUAAAACGCGCUUUAUUUUCGUGCCCGGCGGGAGUUUCGCGUCCCCGAUUUCGCUAGUGAAGGUUUCUACCCCAAUCUCCAUGCAGUAAUUUCGUUCCCGGAACCUUUCUGAGUGUCAUGUCUUUGGAGGAUCCAUUUUUCGUAGUCAAGGACGAAGUGUUUAAGGCCCUUAACAAAACCCGAGGAUUGUAUCUCCGUUGGCGAGAACUGGGUGACGGUAGCGGAGCAGAAGUCGAGUGGACUACAACAGAGUUAAGGAAUUCUCUGAGGAGCAUCGAAUGGGAUUUGGAGGAUCUUGAAGACACGAUUUCUAUCGUAGAGAAAAACCCAAGCAAAUUUCGAAUCGAUAAUAAAGAACUUUCCAGCCGGCGUCACUUUAUCGAAGCCACCCGCGAUGAGGUCCGUUCGAUGAAAGAGAAAAUGAACUUGAACCGCAGCCGGGACCGAGAUAUUACCGCACAUCAACCGCUUCUAGAUAAUCCGUCAGAAACUAACAAUAAUCUCACCAACUCAGCCAUCCUUGGAAAUACUGUGAAUUUCUCCAGCAUGGCGGCACGACAUAGUGGAACGAAAUAUUCAAAACUUGAAAAUGCACUCGACAGUCCUGGUCACUAUUCAACACUGGACAGUCCGUCACAUAAGUUCAUUGGAGAGAAUGUAUCUAUACAGCAGCGAAUGCUGCAAGGGCAAGAUGAGCAAUUGGAUGUUAUCAGCGAUUCGAUCGGUACACUCAAGACUGUUUCUCGGCAGAUUGGUGUCGAAUUGGAUGAACAGGCUGUGAUGCUCGAUGAUUUCGGCAAUGAGCUCGAAACAACGGAAUCUAAGUUGGAUACAACUAUGAAGAAGAUGGCCAAAGUACUACAUAUGAAUAAUGAUAAGCGGCAAUGGGCAGCAAUAGUAGUUUUAUCAAUAAUACUUUUAAUUGUGAUAAUUCUAUUCAUAAUUUUGUAAUUAUCAAGGAAUCGCCUUUUACGUAAAUUGGUUUCUACUAAAGAGAACAAAGUACAUAUAUGGCAGAAUGAGCAGCUGAUUCCUUUGCAUUCCAAAAAUGAAAUGAAUGCUUUUCAUAGGCAUCAUAAAGUUUCCUAGGAAAUUAUUCGACGUAGUACUUAGCAUAAUGUAGUAAUUCCAUUUUGUGCUAUAACUCCCCCAUUUGGGGGAAGGAUUCCGAAAGUAACAGUGUACAUAUAAUAUAUAUCAAGCAAAUUGAAAUAUUCCUUUCACGAAAGCGGCAAAAAUUUAUUACAACUUUGUAGCAGAGAAUUGCGAAUUUCUAUUCGAAAAAAAAGUUCUAUUUACAAUUGUGUACACUAGCUGUAGCGAAUAAUGUGUUAGACGAAAAUGUAAACCAAAAACAACGGAAAACUGUAUCAACGGACGUACCAUAUAGAGUCUAUAUAUAGAGGGAAGUAUCUACAUGUAUAUGAAUGUAAAGUUUUAUUACAGAGACAAAAUAUCAAGUACCAUUGACAAAAUAUAGUUAUUAAAUGAUGACGUUGUUGAA
rnacentral:misc_RNA from 1 species